rnacentral:ncRNA from 1 species
UUUAUUGAGAGUUUGAUCCUGGCUCAGGAUAAACGCUGGCGGCAUGCCUAAGACAUGCAAGUCGAACGAAGUGCCCCAUUGAUAUUGGAAUGAAAUUGAUGAGCUUGCUCUGAUGUGGAAUGAAAAUUGAUUUGGAUUCUGCACUUAGUGGCGAACGGGUGAGUAACACGUGGGUUAUCUGCCUUCAAGUUGGGGAUAACAGUUAGAAAUGACUGCUAAUACCGAAUGUGCUAGUAAUAGUAAAGGAGCCUUAAAGCUUCGCUUGAAGAUGAGCCUGCGG